GUGGGGAAUAUUGGGCAAUGGGCGAAAGCCUGACCCAGCCACGCCGCGUGAGUGAUGAAGGCCUUCGGGUUGUAAAGCUCUGUGGGAAGGGGCGAAAGGCGGAGUUACGAAUAGUGCUCUGUUUGACGGUACCUUCUUAGCAAGCACCGGCUAACUCUGUGCCAGCAGCCGCGGUAAGACAGAGGGUGCAAACGUUGCUCGGAAUUACUGGGCGUAAAGCGCAUGUAGGCGGGUACGCAAGUCGGGAGUGAAAUCCCUGGGCUCAACCUAGGAACUGCUUUCGAAACUGCGCAUCUGGAGUGAUGGAGAGGGGAGCGGAAUUCCCGGUGUAGAGGUGAAAUUCGUAGAUAUCGGGAGGAACACCAGUGGCGAAGGCGGCUCUCUGGCCAUUGACUGACGCUGAGAUGCGAAAGCGUGGGGAGCAAACAGGAUUAGAUACCCUGGUAGUCC
rnacentral:rRNA from 1 species